rnacentral:rRNA from 1 species
UAGGGAAUCUUCCACAAUGGACGCAAGUCUGAUGGAGCAACGCCGCGUGAGUGAAGAAGGUUUUCGGAUCGUAAAGCUCUGUUGUUGGUGAAGAAGGAUAGAGGCAGUAACCGGUCUUUAUUUGACGGUAAUCAACCAGAAAGUCACGGCUAACUACGUGCCAGCAGCCGCGGUAAUACGUAGGUGGCAAGCGUUGUCCGGAUUUAUUGGGCGUAAAGCGAGCGCAGGCGGAAUGAUAAGUCUGAUGUGAAAGCCCACGGCUCAACCGUGGAACUGCAUCGGAAACUGUCAUUCUUGAGUGCAGAAGAGGAGAGUGGAACUCCAUGUGUAGCGGUGGAAUGCGUAGAUAUAUGGAAGAACACCAGUGGCGAAGGCGGCUCUCUGGUCUGCAACUGACGCUGAGGCUCGAAAGCAUGGGUAGCGAACAGGAUUAGAUACCCUGGUAGUCCAUGCCGU